UGGGGAAUUUUGGACAAUGGGCGAAAGCCUGAUCCAGCAAUGCCGCGUGUGUGAAGAAGGCCUUCGGGUUGUAAAGCACUUUUGUCCGGAAAGAAAUCCUUGGCUCUAAUACAGUCGGGGGAUGACGGUACCGGAAGAAUAAGCACCGGCUAACUACGUGUCAGCAGCCGCGGUAAUACGUAGGGUGCAAGCGUUAAUCGGAAUUACUGGGCGUAAAGCGUGCGCAGGCGGUUUGCUAAGACCGAUGUGAAAUCCCCGGGCUCAACCUGGGAACUGCAUUGGUGACUGGCAGGCUAGAGUAUGGCAGAGGGGGGUAGAAUUCCACGUGUAGCAGUGAAAUGCGUAGAGAUGUGGAGGAAUACCGAUGGCGAAGGCAGCCCCCUGGGCCAAUACUGACGCUCAUGCACGAAAGCGUGGGGAGCAAACAGGAUUAGAUACCCUGGUAGUCCACGCCCUAAACGAUGUCAACUAGUUGUUGGGGACUUCAUUUUCCUUAGUAACGUAGCUAACGCGUGAAGUUGACCGCCUGGGGAGUACGGUCGCAAGAUUAAAACUCAAAUGAAUUGACGGGGUCAUAGCUGUUUCCU
rnacentral:rRNA from 1 species